AACGAACGCUGGCGGCAGGCUUAACACAUGCAAGUCGAACGGGCCCUUCGGGGUCAGUGGCAGACGGGUGAGUAACGCGUGGGAACGUGCCCUUCAGUUCGGGAUAACCCAGGGAAACUUGGGCUAAUACCGGAUACGUGCGAGAGCAGAAAGAUUUAUCGCUGAAGGAUCGGCCCGCGUCUGAUUAGCUGGUUGGUGGGGUAAUGGCCCACCAAGGCGACGAUCAGUAGCUGGUCUGAGAGGAUGAUCAGCCACAUUGGGACUGAGACACGGCCCAAACUCCUACGGGAGGCAGCAGUGGGGAAUAUUGGACAAUGGGGGCAAGCCUGAUCCAGCCAUGCCGCGUGAGUGAUGACGGCCUUAGGGUUGUAAAGCUCUUUCGCACGCGACGAUAAUGACGGUAGCGUGAGAAGAAGCCCCGGCUAACUUCGUGCCAGCAGCCGCAGUAA
rnacentral:rRNA from 1 species